rnacentral:SRP_RNA from 2 species
GCCAGGCGUGGUGGUGCACAGCUGUAAUCCCAGCUACCAGGGAGGCUGAGGCAGGAGAAUUGCUUGAGCCCAGGAGGUGGAGGUUGCAGUGAGCCAAGAUUGCACCACUGCACUCCAGCCUGGGCAACAGAGCAAGACUCUGCCUCAA